rnacentral:rRNA from 1 species
GACAGAGGGGGCAAGCGUUGCUCGGAAUUACUGGGCGUAAAGGGCGCGUAGGCGGGAUGGCAAGUCGGUCGUGAAAUCCCUCGGCUCAACUGAGGAUCGUCGAUCGAUACUGCCGUUCUUGAGGAUUGCAGAGGAGACUGGAAUUCCCGGUGUAGCGGUGAAAUGUGUAGAGAUCGGGAGGAACACCGGUGGCGAAGGCGGGUCUCUGGGCAAUUCCUGACGCUGAGGAACGAAAGCUAGGGGAGCAAACGGG